rnacentral:rRNA from 1 species
UUAUUAAUAAAAUAUUUGAUCCUUUCGUACUAAAAUAUUUACUUUUUUUAAAGAUAGAAACCAACCUGGCUUACACCGGUUUAAACUCAGAUCAUGUAAAAUUUUAAAGGUCGAACAGACCUAAUUAUUUAGCUUCUACCCCAAAAAUAAAUUUUAAUCCAACAUCGGGGUCGCAAUCUUUUUUUUCAAUAAGAACUCUCAAAAAAAAUUACGCUGUUAUCCCUAAGGUAAUUUAAUCUUAUAAUCAUUUUUAUGGAUCAACUAAUCAUUAAUUUAUGUAAAAAUAAAAAAAAAGUUUAUUUAAUUUUUCAGUCACCCCAACCUAAUUUAAAAUAUAAUUGAAAAAAAAAAAUUCUAAAAUUUACAAUUAUAAUUUAAAUUAAACUCUAUAGGGUCUUCUCGUCUUUUAAACUUAUUUAAGCUUUUUGACUUAAAAAUAAAAUUCUAAAAUAUUAAGAUUGAGACAGUAAUUUUUUCAUCAAACCAUUCAUACAAGCUUUCAAUUAAAAAACUAAUGAUUAUGCUACCUUUGCACAGUCAAAAUACUGCGGCCCUUCAAAAUUUUCAGUGGGCAGG